rnacentral:rRNA from 1 species
UAACACAUGCAAGUCGAGGGGCAGCGGGAUUGAAGCUUGCUUCAAUUGCCGGCGACCGGCGCACGGGUGAGUAACGCGUAUCCAACCUUCCGUACACUCAGGGAUAGCCUUUCGAAAGAAAGAUUAAUACCUGAUGGUAUGAUGAGAUUGCAUGGUAGCAUCAUUAAAGAUUUAUCGGUGUACGAUGGGGAUGCGUUCCAUUAGGUAGUAGGCGGGGUAACGGCCCACCUAGCCAACGAUGGAUAGGGGUUCUGAGAGGAAGGUCCCCCACAUUGGAACUGAGACACGGUCCAAACUCCUACGGGAGGCAGCAGUGAGGAAUAUUGGUCAAUGGACGAGAGUCUGAACCAGCCAAGUAGCGUGAAGGAUGAAGGUCCUACGGAUUGUAAACUUCUUUUAUAAGGGAAUAAACCCUCCCACGUGUGGGAGCUUGUAUGUACCUUAUGAAUAAGCAUCGGCUAACUCCGUGCCAGCAGCCGCGGUAAUACGGAGGAUGCGAGCGUUAUCCGGAUUUAUUGGGUUUAAAGGGAGCGCAGACGGGUCGUUAAGUCAGCUGUGAAAGUUUGGGGCUCAACCUUAAAAUUGCAGUUGAUACUGGCGUCCUUGAGUGCGGUUGAGGUGUGCGGAAUUCGUGGUGUAGCGGUGAAAUGCUUAGAUAUCACGAAGAACUCCGAUUGCGAAGGCAGCACACUAAUCCGUAACUGACGUUCAUGCUCGAAAGUGUGGGUAUCAAACAGGAUUAGAUACCCUGGUAGUCCACACGGUAAACGAUGGAUACUCGCUGUUGGCGAUAUACUGUCAGCGGCUUAGCGAAAGCGUUAAGUAUCCCACCUGGGGAGUACGC